rnacentral:misc_RNA from 1 species
AAAGUCGUAACAAGGUUUCCGUAGGUGAACCUGCGGAAGGAUCAUUACUGUUAAUUGGGGGGGUUGAGCUGGCCUUUGUGCACUGUGCUUACCCCUUUCAUUUCUAUAUACACACACACUGUGCACUUUAAGAGUGAGAGUGGGACGCUACUCAUCACUUUGAGAGGGAGGAGUGGGACGCUACUUAUCCCUUUCAAAUUUAUUAAUGCCUGUCUUAUGCAUGUCUUAUGAUACCCUUAAGGGGGAACUUUAAUAACUUUCAACAACGGAUCUCUUGGCUUUU